AGCCGCUAAGGCUUAUACUUAGUAGUUGCAUUCUUACCCUCGAUACGAACCUAGACUUAAGCAGCCUUACUAAGUCACAGGGUUGAACUAGUUGACUUACCGCACCUGGGUUUAGUGAUAGCAAAGUGAGUGGAGUGGUAAAGUUGCAUCUAAAGUAGUAGUCCAGGUAGUCCAGGUGAGAGUAGAAAGGGGGAGUUGUUGGCUUGAAGACCUGUCUUCGUAGAUGUCUUCUGCUUUCCUAUCUACUUACUCUGUACACACUCAGUUGAGGAAAACAUACUACAUUCUAUAUUAUCCUUAUAUAUGAAACUAGAUGAGA
rnacentral:lncRNA from 1 species